AGAAUGUCACGUGUUCGGUUAUGGACUCGGUUGGCAAGUCGGUUGCGAGUGCGAGAAAGCGAUUGUCCGAGUAUUCGGUCGUUCUGACGGCGUGUGCUGCAGAAGCUGCUGCUUAUGGUCGCUGUAUCUCUGGUAACGCGAAUGUGGUAAAAGACAGUUGCCUAGCGGAAUUUCAAGCUCUUAAACAAUGUGCAACAAAAGUAUUGAAGCGAAGAUUAUAACGACAACGAUUCUGAAAAACGAUGCACAUUACGUAGUGAAAACACAGUCGACUGUUCUUGAUGUAUCACAUCAGGUUGUAAUCUACCAAUCUGUACAUGAUCGUAAAUAAAACUCAAU